GAUGAAGAACGUAGCGAAAUGCGAUACUUGGUGUGAAUUGCAGAAUCCCGUGAACCAUCGAGUCUUUGAACGCAAGUUGCGCCCGAAGCCAUUAGGCCGAGGGCACGCCUGCCUGGGCGUCACACGUCGUUGCCCCCCCAUCUACUCCUUCGGGAUUGCGGGGGGCGGAUGAUGGCCUCCCGUGCGCCUCGUCGCGCGGUUGGCAUAAAUGCCAAGUCCUCGGCGACGCACGCCACGACAAUCGGUGGUUGCGAAACCUCGGUUGCCCGUCGUGUGCGGUCGUCGCGCAUCGAGGGCUCGAAAAAAUGCUCGGCUCCGGCUCGGCUUUCAACGCGACCCCAGGUCAGGCGGGGUUACCCGCUGAAUUUAAGCAUAUCAAUAAGCGGAGGA
rnacentral:misc_RNA from 1 species